GCAUUUGCAGAGCUGGUUCCGCCGGGGAGGAGAACUCGCGUGCUCCGUGCAGAGGGGAUGCAUCCUGCGCAGCGUGGCUCGGGGGCGCCGUGGAGCCUCCCGAAGGCGAUCGUGGGAUUCAGAAACCUCUCCCGGGACUCCCAUGGGAGGAGGCUGACCCCGGGCCGGCACGCGAUCGCGGGAUGGGCUGGAGUUGUAGGAAGGCCCUAGGCCCGGGCCGCCAUCGGCGGGGCACUGGCUGCUUCUGUGUUGCAGGCGCCGCACGGGUUCGUCCGCUUACACAGAAUUGUAUUAAAUUGUCUUUUUAUUUCCCCACCCAGGAAAUGAACCACAUCCCCCAACGACUAGACGGAAGCACGCACAAGCUCCUUCCUCCCGAGGAGCGUUUCCAGUGACUUGAGCUUGGUUGGCCCAGCCGCCUGGAUGACCGGCAUCCUCGAGCACACGUGGUUUAUGGGAUGUACGGAUAAAGCUCAAGGCUAUAUGCAUGCUAGGAAGUCUUCUACUCCUGGGUGUCUGUCCCACCCACGUGGAGCUUAAACAAAGAUGCAUACAGUUGUGACUCCAGACGUCACUGGACAAGACACCAGUACAACCCAAACAAACAGAAAUCGUUCCCCAGGACUCACCUGAGCGACCGUGGGCCCCACUAGGUUGUCUCUUCAGUGUGGUUGAAGGACUGGGCGUUUGCAUUUUGAGUAGCCACAUGGGGCCAGUGGUCACCAUUUUGAAGGUCCUGGGUGUGGCAUACUUCCGGAAAAACCAUGACAAGAGGAAUCUGCCAUAGUUCAGGCUUGUCACAUGCUCUUCAGGGGCACGGGAGCCAGGCUGGAGUGUGGCUCAAUGAUAGACAUAUGCUUAGUGUGUCUUGAGAAGGUCCUGCUUGUUACACGGGACUCUGCAUCUGUUCAGGUCAUUUGACUAGAAGCUUUGUCUGCGUGCACUGAGUGAGGAUCCGGCCCUACUGUGUGUAUCCCUACUGCGUGCUCCUGGACCUGUUGGGUUUGACUCUUGAUUUGCUGUUUUUGGGUAUUCACUGGCUGAGGACAGUGGCUGUGUUCAGUGGCUGUAAAUAAAUGGAGCUUGAACU
rnacentral:lncRNA from 1 species